rnacentral:rRNA from 1 species
UACGUAGGGUGCAAGCGUUAAUCGGAAUUACUGGGCGUAAAGCGUGCGCAGGCGGCUAUGCAAGACAGAUGUGAAAUCCCCGGGCUCAACCUGGGAACUGCAUUUGUGACUGCAUAGCUAGAGUACGGUAGAGGGGGAUGGAAUUCCGCGUGUAGCAGUGAAAUGCGUAGAUAUGCGGAGGAACACCGAUGGCGAAGGCAAUCCCCUGGACCUGUACUGACGCUCAUGUACGAAAGCGUGGGGAGCAAACAGG